rnacentral:rRNA from 1 species
GACGAACGCUGGCGGCGUGCCUAAUACAUGCAAGUAGAACGCACAGUUUAUACCGUAGCUUGCUACACCAUAGACUGUGAGUUGCGAACGGGUGAGUAACGCGUAGGUAACCUGCCUGGUAGCGGGGGAUAACUAUUGGAAACGAUAGCUAAUACCGCAUAAUAUUAAUUAUUGCAUGAUAAUUGAUUGAAAGAUGCAACUGCAUCACUACCAGAUGGACCUGCGUUGUAUUAGCUAGUAGGUGAGGUAACGGCUCACCUAGGCGACGAUACAUAGCCGACCUGAGAGGGUGAUCGGCCACACUGGGACUGAGACACGGCCCAGACUCCUGCGGGAGGCAGCAGUAGGGAAUCUUCGGCAAUGGACGAAAGUCUGACCGAGCAACGCCGCGUGAGUGAAGGAGGUUUUCGGAUCGUGAAGCUCUGUUGUAAGGGAAGAACGGGUGUGAGAGUGGAAAGUUCACACUGUGACGGUAUCUUACCAGAAAGGGACGGCUAACUACGUG